UAAUUGCCACCUUAACAAACGAUCUUCAAAUACCAUUCGUUAUUAUGGAAACUAAUUACAAAGACUACGCAGUACUCUACAGUUGUCUAGAUCAAGGUCCACAGGGUACAGUUCUAGCUUGGAAACUAAGUCGAACUACACAACUAUCAAACGCGUCUAACGUGGCUUUUCAAAAACACGAUGGCUUAGCCAAAGGUAAUUGGACAGCAAUAUCCCACACUGAAGAUGCCUGCAAAAUAAAUAACAACGCAAUCAAAACAUGUAUUAAUCCAAUAAUAUUAGUGAUCGUUGGUUUGGUUAUGGGCAAAGAUAGUUUUUAAGACUCAUUUUAAUAAUUGUAUUUAUAUGAGGUAAUCUAAUAUCGUACAGUAGACGUAAAUUUGUUCAAGUAUGAGUACAAUACAAUCGUCUAAUUAGCAACUUUUGCAAUUUAUUAAUUUCCUUCAAAUUACAAUGUUUCAUUCAGAACUAGUUAAAACUGGUUAUGACUAAAAACUUGGUUCAGUAAUA